rnacentral:rRNA from 1 species
GACAGAGGGGGCAAGCGUUGCUCGGAAUCACUGGGCGUAAAGGGCGCGUAGGCGGGAUGGCAAGUCAGUCGUGAAAUCUCUCGGCUCAACCGAGAAACGUCGGCUGAUACUGCCGUUCUUGAGGGAUGCAGAGGAGACUGGAAUUUCCGGUGUAGCGGUGAAAUGCGUAGAUAUCGGAAGGAACACCAGUGGCGAAAGCGGCUCCUGGUCCAGCACCGACGUUCAGGCACGAAAGCGUGGGGAGCAAACAGG